ACCCAGCUGGCUCAGUUGGAAGAGCAUGCGACUCUUGAUCUUGGCGUCAUGAGUUCAAGCCCCAUGUAGGGUG
rfam:Ailuropoda melanoleuca scaffold2287_3, whole genome shotgun sequence.